UCCCAGGGGAGGGUGCCAGCGCCAGACUCCAUGCUGGCGGAAGGGAAUUUAGGUCACAGAUCCUCUUUGGGAGCAAGCACGUCUGAUGCUGCCAAGAGAAACAAACUGGGAUGAAAGAAACAGGAGAAAGGGAACAAACCAGCUUGAAAGAAACAGGAGAACGCGGAGAAAUGACUCAAUGAUCAAAACAAGGAUACUACGGGAAAGAGAUCCACAGUCUUGGGGAAAUGAACUAGGUUUGACACAAGGUUGCUCCCUGAGGGUGGCAUCCAAUCUCAGCGCUCGGACAUCCAGUAAUGCCAUCUUUUGAAGUCUAAAGCUGUGUUUAUAGGAUGUUGUGAACUGAAAACAAAAAGAAACCAGAAUGGACAUGUACAGUAUGCUUUAAGGAUGAGCAUGUAAAACUAAAAUUCAUAGAUCUACAGGACUAUCAGAAGCGGGGAUUCAGCAGAGAUCCUUCUCACUGUGAUCUUUCUUCUACUCACCUAUUUCCCAUCCACAAGAUACAAAACAUCUGUUUUUCAGUCCCCCAGGAACCGCUCAUUAGGUCUCUGACAUCCUACUGCCCACCUUGCUCCACAAGCACUAACUGAGGCAGUCUAUCUGGCACCUAUCCCAUUAAGCGCAGAACAAUUGGUUUGAACUUGUACUUAGCUUGAAAGUUUUUUGGUUCUUUUUCAUACCUGGAAGAGAGAUUGUGUAUCUGAAGGACUGGCUACUUCUUCCAACAAGGGUAGUUGAUCUGAUAAGAGAUAUCUAAAGGAAACAAACCCAAAGCAAUUUACUUAAAAUAAAUACAUAAAUAAA